UUUCGGAAAAUUCAACUCCAACUGUCCAGUGACUUGCGAUGCAGAUGCGAUGGAUUAUUUCACAACCUCAUCCUACGAUCUGAAUGGAAAUAUUUCACCUAAUGAUGAUUUUUAUGCUGACUUGGAUUUCACCAAGGUCAGUAUACUCAGAAUAUAUGUAAGACACCGGCACAAGGUGUUGCUGAGAAAAUCUUACUUCACUAAUUUUGAACUUUUUGCGCAACUCGGAGGACUUUUCAGCGUGUUUUUCGGUUGCAGCGUCCUGUCUAUAUGGGAACUAGUCAUGUUGCUAUGGCGUGCUGCGAGCACAAAGAUUGCAUCUAUUAAUCGUAAAUGAAAUUGUUUUAAAAAGAGAAUCAAAAUAUUUUUAACAUAGCACUAUUCAAUGCACUCCGGACAAUGAGACGAUGUGAGAUUUGAUGCAUCAAAAUUUCAAUUUAUUUUCCUCUAACUUACCUUAAGAAGUAGUUACUCGUAACUUGAAGUACUUCAUCAAUCGGCUGUCAUUGUGCCUGCAAUGUCGAGGAGGUUUGACGUGUAGCCAUUUGUUACCUGACACUGAAACAAUACAGUUCCACACUGAGCACCUUAUCAUUAAUCAAUUGUCUACUUUUUCGCAAAUAGAUCUUUUAAGUAAUUCGAAUGCUUCAUAAAAAUAGCUCGCGAUUC